GCGGGUGUGGCGGAAUUGGUAGACGCGCUGGUCUUAGGAACCAGUGGAUUUUUCCAUGGGGGUUCAAGUCCCUCCACCCGCACCA
rnacentral:tRNA from 4 species